rnacentral:rRNA from 1 species
UACGUAGGGUGCAAGCGUUGUCCGGAAUUAUUGGGCGUAAAGGGCUCGUAGGCGGUUUGUCGCGUCGGGAGUGAAAACGCCGGGCUUAACCCGGUGCUUGCUUUCGAUACGGGCAGACUGGAGGUAUGCAGGGGAGAACGGAAUUCCUGGUGUAGCGGUGAAAUGCGCAGAUAUCAGGAGGAACACCGGUGGCGAAGGCGAGUCCCUGGACGAUACCUGACACUGAGGCACGAAAGCUAGGGGAGCAAACAGG